rnacentral:rRNA from 1 species
GCCACGCCCGCUCAGAAACUACAAAGGAAGUUGACGGGGCCCGGCACAAGCGGUGGAGUAUGUGGUUAAUUCGAUGCAACGCGAAGAACCUUACCUGGUCUUGACAUCCCGGAGACCCUUAGGAAACUAGGGGUGCUUCCAUCUGGAAGAAUCUGGAGACAGGUGCUGCAUGGCUGUCGUCAGCUCGUGUCGUGAGAUGUUGGGUUAAGUCCCGCAACGAGCGCAACCCUUGCCUUUAGUUGCCAGCAGUUCGGCUGGGCACUCUAAAGGGACUGCCGGUGUUAAACCGGAGGAAGGUGGGGAUGACGUCAAGUCCUCAUGGCCUUUAUGACCAGGGCUACACACGUACUACAAUGGCCGAUACAAAGGGCAGCGACACUGCGAGGUGAAGCCAAUCCCGUAAAAUCGGUCUCAGUCCGGAUUGGAGUCUGCAACUCGACUCCAUGAAGUUGGAAUCGCUAGUAAUCGUGGAUCAGCAUGCCACGGUGAAUACGUUCCCGGGCCUU